UAUUGAAGAUGUAGAAUCUUGGGCCCUAUCUAUCUCAGACCUACCAAAUCCGGAUCUGUGUUGUAGUGAGAUCCUCUGGGAGUUCAUGUGCAUUAAAGUUUGAGAAACACAGGAAUAGUGGACAGUGCUGGCUGCCUAUCAGCAUCCAUUUCCUUUGUCUUUCCUAAUAACGAGAUGCACAUUUUCUUCGGUUACUUCCCC
rnacentral:lncRNA from 1 species